rnacentral:rRNA from 1 species
ACGCACGCUGGCGGCGUGCCUAAUCCCUGCCAGUAGAACGCUGAAGGCGGAGCUUGCUUCUCUGGAUGAGUUGCAACGGGGUGGUAACCCGGUGGUUAACCGCCCUGUAGCUGGGGGAAAAUAUUUGGAAACAUUAGUAAAUCCCCCUAAAUAUAAGAUUCCCCUUGAAAUUUCUUUAAAAGUUGCAUUUCCUUACCACCCAGAUGAACCUCCGUUGUAUUAGCUAGUUGGUGAGGUAACGCCUCACCAAGGCAACGAUACAUAGCCGACCUGAGAGGGUGAUCGGCCACACUGGGACUGAGACACGGCCCAGACUCCUACGGGAGGCAGCAGUAGGGAAUCUUCGGCAAUGGACGGAAGUCUGACCGAGCAACGCCGCGUGAGUGAAGAAGGUUUUCGGAUCGUAAAGCUCUGUUGUAAGAGAAGAACGAGUGUGAGAGUGGAAAGUUCACACUGUGACGGUAGCUUACCAGAAAGGGACGGCUAACUACGUG